CCUACGGGCGGCAGCAGUGGGGAAUAUUGCACAAUGGGGGAAACCCUGAUGCAGCGACGCCGCGUGAGGGAAGACGUAUUUCGGUAUGUAAAGCUCUAUCAGCAGGGAAGAAAAUGACGGUACCCGACUAAGAAGCCCCGGCUAACUACGUGCCAGCAGCCGCGGUAAUACGUAGGGGGCAAGCGUUAUCCGGAUUUGCUGGGUGUAAAGGGAGCGUAGACGGCCGCAUGAGUCUGGAGUGAAAUGCCGGGGCUUAACCCCGGAACUGCUGUGGAAACUGUGCAGCUAGAGAGUAGGAGAGGUAAGUGGAAUUCCUAGUGUAGCGGUGAAAUGCGUAGAUAUUAGGAGGAACACCAGUGGCGAAGGCAGCUUACUGGACUGUAACUGACGUUGAGGCUCGAAAGCGUGGGGAGCAAACAGGAUUAGAUACCCUUGUAGUC
rnacentral:rRNA from 1 species